CAAAGAUGGCGGUGAAUCCUCAACUAUUUCGGAAUGGGAUGCCUGUGCCUUUCGUCAAUGAACUCUUCGUCUUGGCCAGAGAUGGAGUCGAGUUUGAGGUCGACAAGAUCCCUGGAGUAGGAGCAGUAAAAGCAAAGGGAACAGUCUAUUUGUCCAACAUUCGGAUGGUCUUUGUUUCAAUUAAGCCUGUGGAGAACUUCAUUGCAUUUGACAUGCCCCUGCUUUAUGUCCAUGGCGAGAAAUUCAACCAACCAAUAUUUUUCUGUAAUAAUAUAUGUGGACAUGUGGAUCCAGUUAUACCAGUAAAUGAAAAUAGGGCCUUGUUUUCCACUCACUCAUUCAAGAUUUUG
rnacentral:misc_RNA from 1 species